GUACGUGUGCGUGUAUGUGUGUGGUAUGGGGGAGGGUGCGUAGUGUUCAUGUGAUGUUGGAGGGGUAUGUGUGUGGUACAUGGUGUGUGCAUAGUGUGUGGUGUGUGUAUGGUGUACCGUGUGUGUGCAUGGUGUGUGUUUGGAGGUAUGUAUAUGUGUAAAGUAUAUGUGUGUGGCAUAUGGUGUGUGAGUGUGUAUGUUGUACUGUGUGUGUGUGUAUA
rnacentral:lncRNA from 10 species